rnacentral:rRNA from 1 species
GAUGAACGCUGGCGGCGUGCCUAAUACAUGCAAGUCGAGCGAACGGACGAGAAGCUUGCUCCCCUGAUGUUAGCGGCGGACGGGUGAGUAACACGUGGAUAACCUACCUAUAAGACUGGGAUAACUUCGGGAAACCGGAGCUACUACCGGAUAAUAUUUUGAACCGCAUGGUUCAAAAGUGAAAGACGGUCUUGCUGUCGCUUAUAGAUGGAUCCGCGCUGCAUUAGUUAGUUGGUAAGGUAACGGCUUACCAAGGCAACGAUGCAUAGCCGACCUGAGAGGGAGGUCGGCCACCCUGGAUCUGAGACACGGUCCAGACUCCUACGGGAGGCAGCAGUAGGGAAUCUUCCGCGAUGGGCGAGAGCCUGACGGUGCAACGCCGCGUGAGUGAUGAAGGUCUUCGGAUCGUAAAGCUCUGUUAGUAGGGAAGAACAUAUGUGUAAGUAACUGUGCACAUCUUGACGGUACCGGAUCAGAAAGCCACGGCUAACUACGUG